GACGAACGCUGGCGGCGUGCUUAACACAUGCAAGUCGAACGGAAAGGCCUGCUUUCCCUUGUGGAUUGCGGGUACUCGAGUGGCGAACGGGUGAGUAACACGUGAGUGAUCUGCCCCCAACUUGGGUAUAAGCCUGGGAAACUGGGUCUAAUUCCCGAUAGGACUGCAGGGUGGUGCCUGUGGUGGAAAACGAUUUUCUAGUGGUUGGGGAUGAGCUCGCGGCCUAUCAGCUUGUUGGUGGGGUAAUGGCCUACCAAGGCGGCGACGGGUAGCCGGCCUGAGAGGGUGGACGGCGACAUUGGGACUGAGAUACGGCCCAGACUCCGACGGGAGGCAGCAGUGGGGAAUAUUGCACAAUGGGCGGAAGCCUGAGGCAGCGACGCCGCGUGGGGGAUGACGGCCUUCGGGUUGUAAACUCCUUUCGACCGCGAGGAAGCCACCUGGUUGGAAGGGUGGUGACGGUAGUGGUAGAAGAAGCACCGGCUAACUACGUG
rnacentral:rRNA from 1 species